rnacentral:tRNA from 1 species
GGACAGCUGGCCGAGCGGUUAAGGCGAUAGACUCGAAAUCUAUUGGGGUAACCCGCGUGAGUUCAAGUCUCACAGCUGUCGACA